UAUGGCCAUAUCACAUUGAAACAUGGGUUUUCGUACGAUCACUGAAGAUAAGCAAUGUUGAGCCUGGUCAGUACGUAGAUGGGUGACUGCUUGGGAAUACCAGGUGCUGUAAG